rnacentral:tRNA from 2 species
CCACACAUGGUACACCCUUUAAGGA